rnacentral:rRNA from 1 species
GACGAACGCUGGCGGCGUGCCUAAUACAUGCAAGUGGAACGCAUGAUUGAUACCGGAGCUUGCUCCACCAUUAAUCAUGAGUCGCGAACGGGUGAGUAACGCGUAGGUAACCUACCUCAUAGCGGGGGAUAACUAUUGGAAACGAUAGCUAAUACCGCAUAACAGUCUUUAACCCAUGUUAGAGAUUUGAAAGGGGCAAGAGCUUCACUAUGAGAUGGACCUGCGUUGUAUUAGCUAGUUGGUGAGGUAAAGGCUCACCAAGGCGACGAUACAUAGCCGACCUGAGAGGGUGAUC